GUCGUCCCCUAUGCCUCGGCCAUAGGGUCUAUCAUGUAUGCUAUGCUGUGUACCAGACUUGAUGUAAACCUUGCCGUAAGUUUGGUAGGAAGGUACCAAAGUAAUCCCGGCAUGGAACACUGGACAGCGGUCAAGAAUAUCCUGAAGUACCUGAAGAGGACUAAGGAUAUUUUUCUCAUUUAUGGAGGUGACGAAGAGCUCGUCGUAAAGGGUUACGUCGAUGCUAGCUUCGACACAGAUCUGGAUGACUCUAAGUCACAAACCGGAUACGUGUAUAUUUUGAAUGGUGGGGCAGUAAGCUGGUGCAGUUGCAAGCAAAGCGUUGUGGCGGGAUCUACAUGUGAAGCGGAGUACAUGGCAGCCUCGGAGGCAGCACAAGAAGCAAUCUGGGUGAAGGAGUUCAUUACUGACCUAGGAGUCAUACCCAAUGUGUCGGGCUCGAUGACUCUCUUCUGUGACAACACUAGAGCUAUUGCCCUUGCCAAGGAGCCUAGGUUUCACAGGAAGACCAGGCAUAUCAAGCCCCGCUUCAACUCCAUUCGUGAAAGUGUUCAAAAUGGAGACAUAGAUAUUUGUAAAGUACAUACGGACCUGAAUGUGGCAGAUCCGUUGACUAAACCUCUCCCUAGAGCAAAACAUGAUCAACACCAGAACUGCAUGGGUGUUCGAUUC
rnacentral:rRNA from 1 species